rnacentral:rRNA from 1 species
UGGGGAAUUUUGGACAAUGGGCGCAAGCCUGAUCCAGCCAUGCCGCGUGCGGGAAGAAGGCCUUCGGGUUGUAAACCGCUCUUGUCAGGGAAGAAAUCUUCUGAGUUAAUACCUCGGGAGGAUGACGGUACCUGAAGAAUAAGCACCGGCUAACUACGUGCCAGCAGCCGCGGUAAUACGUAGGGUGCAAGCGUUAAUCGGAAUUACUGGGCGUAAAGCGUGCGCAGGCGGUUUUGUAAGACAGGUGGUGAAAUCCCCGGGCUCAACCUGGGAACUGCCUUUGUGACUGCAAGGCUUGAGUGCGGCAGAGGGGGAUGGAAUUCCGCGUGUAGCAGUGAAAUGCGUAGAUAUGCGGAGGAACACCGAUGGCGAAGGCAAUCCCCCUGGGCCUGCACUGACGCUCAUGCACGAAAGCGUGGGGAGCAAAUAGGAUUAGAUACCCUGGGUAGUCCACGCCCUAAACGAUGUCAACUGGUUGUUGGGAAGGUUCCUUCU